rnacentral:lncRNA from 1 species
UAAUUUUUAGGUCAAAAGAAAAUAUGCCUCCUAGAUAUUUUAAUUAUUACUAGGCUUUCUGCUCCUCUAGGUAUGUGAUCAUGAACUCCAAUGUCAAUGUGAAGAAGGACUGACACAUCCUAAGUGUGAGGACAACACAUUGAUUACCACCCACCCCCCACCACUCCAGGAGCAGACAAUCAAGGGCACUCAAGCGAAGGGCAACGACAGACCAGGACUGCACCACUUGUUUGCACCCAAGAUCAAAAUGCUACCGACACCUUUGAGGAUAUCCCUCCUGGUUACUCGAGUCCACAAUACAUUACCAUGAAAUCAGCUAAUAAGGAAACCAGAAGAAUUCCAGCCUACAACCAAAAUGUCAGAAUUCCACCUGCAAAGCCAAGGAUUCCCCCACCACCAAUCCCUACCAUGAUACCACCUUUCUCUCCAAAGGUGAGUGCCAAUUAUGCUUAUCCAAUUCAAUCCAGUCCAGUUCAGUCCAGUAAUUUAGUCCAGU